rnacentral:lncRNA from 1 species
UAUUCUUCAGCAUUCUUGUAAACAUAUUAUGACUUGUUUUGGCACUUUUGCAAGCAAGAAUCCUCCACAUAAGAUACAAAACCAUGAGCAUCUGUCAAGUAAAUUCAAUUAUAAAAAAAAAUAUGUAAGAUAAACAAUAUCAAUAUUGACUCAAUUAUAGAUAAUGAUUAUAAAACCUAUUAAAGAUAGAACUAUGUUGGAAGAUAAAGAAUACCAAUAUUGACGGUAAUAGAUUUGUUCACACCACAACCAGUAAUACAAUCGUAUUUAUCGAUUGUCGCUGUUUUACGGCAUUUUGCAACACAAAUAGCAAAACAUAUUGGAUAGCCAAUGUUAGCUACUAAACAAUCUAUGCCACAUUGUGCAGGACAUGUAAGCUUGUCUGGCUGAGUUUUCAUUGAUGCAUAACAGUAAUCAGCUUGUACGAAGAUCAACAUAACCAUGAUCGUCAUUCCAAUAAUUUUCAUCUCAUUCUUUCCCAUAACUUUUCUCAAAAGUCUUUAGAAUCUCUCCCAGGAAUUAUA